rnacentral:lncRNA from 10 species
AAACAAUCUUUCCAGCCAAGCUUCCUUGGGCCAGUUGAAGUGAAACCAAGGAUUGUCCACUUAUCUCAGUAAUUAAGGCACAAAGAGACCCAUGCUGUUUGGGUCUGACUUUUCCAAAUCUGAGGGAUGAUGGUUUUAGCAAAUUCAGUGUGGACCAGAUCUUUGAUUCACUGUGGUCAUUCAGUCGUUUCUGAGUCAUUGCUGGACAGCAGAAGCAGACAGCUGAAUCACAGCUCAGAAAACCGUAAUGAGCUGAGCAGCAUUACAGCUUGUUUCGCUUAAUAUUUAUUCUUAAAACAUGACUUCAUUUGUGAUGGCUAUACUUGGAGAUCCAGAUACAAGUCCAGCGUGUUUGCUGUAACAAGUUAAUGCGAUGAAAUAUGGAAAAACCUAUUUGCCUCUGUCUUCAAAAUUUGCACAAAGCUCCUUUCUGGUGAGGAUUGCGUUGCACUGAUCUCUACACAUUUUCCUGGCAUGCAGUGCUGUUUGGCCCUUUAUGGGAUGGGCACAAAGACCCUGUGUCUACCUUCCCAGUGGGCUGCAUAAGAGACCGGGCACAGUGGAGACACAUACAAAGGAUCAUCGCUUGCUGCCACACUUGAGGCAUCUGCAUAUGAAUCUCACAUGUAGUUGAGAAAUCAUGGAUGUGGCAACUGUGAGUGUUUGAAGAAGUGAAGCAUUGCUGUACUCACAAAAUGCCAUGAAACUUGAAAUUAAACCUAAAGACCUUAUUAGACUCAAAUCACAUAUUUUUGGCAAGAAAAUUGUAUUGUUCAUGCUAUCAAUUGCCUUUUGUGUUAUAUGAGAAGGACCAACUCAGGGAAGAAGUUCAUUGGUACAAACCCCACACCAUGGGACCCCUGGAGGACUAUACCUUAGAAGCAGGGAUGAAAGAGAGACUGCCAUUCCCGUGGUUACAGCUAUUGAAAUGACACCCAUAGAAAACAGAAGAAAAUAAUUAGCUUCCACUCAUUUCCAAACCCAGUACUUUCUGGGACUCAGACUGGCUCUUCUUGCUCCUCUGCUUGCAGACAGCCUGUUGUGGAACCUUGUGAUCAGGUUGGGCUGGAAAAUCCAUUUCUCACGGUUCCAAAGGCUGGGAAGCCAGGGUCAAGGUCCUGCAGAUCCAGUGUCUGGCGAAGCCCUUCUUCCGGGUUUGGAAAUGGCUGCCUUCUCCUUCUAUCCUCACACGGCAGAGAGAGAAAGAGACUGUUUUCCCUUUAUCAAGAAGACCUGAAGCAAAGAGAGGGUGGUGAUCUGUCCAGGUAAGGAAGCUGCUCUUACCUUACAACUUUCGUGGUAUUGCUUGGCCCUUCUAGUCAUCAGAAACGCUCUUUGCUUAGGUUUCACCUUAACACCGUAGUCAAUCAACUGGAUGUUUUUGUUCAAAGUCUUCAUCCAGCUAACUUUGACCUCAAUAGAGAAACAUGGGAGAUGACUGGCUGAAUAGUUUAUUUUUCCCACAAAUGCUUUAGCAUUAUAUAGACAUGGAUGUAGUGUGUCCUCAGGCAUCAUAAGGAACUGACAAUUUUUGGUUUUGAAAAAUGAACUAAACUUGUCCCGAUAAUUUUGCCUGGCACUGCAACUCAAUGAAUAAUUCAGCUAAUUUACACCACAGUCAUUUGUACAUUAUGAGUGUACACGCUUUGAAAGUAUUUCUGUACCUUUGUCAUAUUGCCUAUUAAAUGUGUUCUGAAAAUAGAUACCAUGUGUGAAUGUAAGUCCUUGUUUAAAGAGUAUGUGAAUUGACACCGUGGGACCUCGUGAACAAUCUUUGCCACUUCUACAGAUUAUUUUUAUAUGGCGAUGGCUAGGAAACAGACUCUCCUUUUUAAAGGUUUUGAGAACAAACUUCUCUCAAGUUGAAUAUAUAUGUCUGGACAAGAAUAAGUUUCUUGGUUCUACAGUACUGUUAAACUUUGUACUUAUGUCUUUAUAAUCUAUCAACUGUUUAAAAUUUUUAGGGUUAGUUUAAUAAACAUCCUUGAAGUGUUCACACUAGUUAAGGAAUUCUGUCAGCUGCUCCCUCCUGGGGGUGAGAGUGAGUGGGAGAAGGUGGUGGCAGAGAAAGGAGAGGCAUUGCUGACUCCAGCCCGGAGCUCAGGGUCCUGUUGAUUACUUUCUAUUUCUCUGUCCCAGGGCGUCUGACACAGAGAAAGUGCAUAAGAUGCAGGAAUGAAUCACUGAGUGCCUGGGCUUUCUUAUCAGAACCUGUACAAUUGGCACAAGUACAGAACUAGUUUCUCCUUGGACAUGUUGCCUACUAUGUACACACAUGUCAAAUAUUUUGUUCAAAAUGUUUUUUCUUUUCCAUGCUGUCAUUUAGUAUUGAAAAUUAACAUCUGUGUCAUAUUGUAGGUGACAUGUAACAUUUUUGUUUUGCAUCUAUAUUUUCUACAUUAUAUGUGAUUAUUUUGCAAUAAAAAUGUGAUUGACAUAUUCACCAAAAUUAUCCUGACAUCAACUAGCAAACAUGCCUGCUGAUAUGUGGCCCCAAUCUGUGUCAUGUUCUCCGUAGCCAGUAUCUACAGCAAGGUUUUCAUAGAGAUUUUCUAAGUUGCUUUUUUAUAGGCUGCUAUUUUUUCUGACUUUGAUCUUUAUUUAUUGGUACAAAUUGUCCCUGACUUACCAUGGCUGGACUUACAAUUUUUCAACUUUACUAAGAGUUUAUUGGAAGGUAACGCCAUCGUAAGUCAGGGAGCAUAUGUACCACAAUUGGUUCAGCUUACUAUUAUUUGACUCUACAAUGGCUUCAUUGAAGUAUUGAAUGCAUCUUUAACACACUUCAUUUUCUUCUUAUGGUGGGUUUAUGGGAUGUAACCCAUUCAGAAGUUGAGGAGCAUCCAUAUAUCUAAGGUGUUCUUACUCAUGGGAAUAUGCUCGUCACUGUGCAGCCCCUUCAUAGAGUUCCAACAAACUAUCCACAAUGCAAUUUUAAUACUGUUUUCAGAAUUAUUUUGUAUAUCUGGACAUAAGUCAAUUUUCACAGAAAGAACAUUUAGAUUAUCAUAAAUUGGGCCUUUUCGUAUUUAAUUUCAUACAGAAAACAUAAUGCAUUGCAAUAAACUUGCAUCUUAAAAUCACAAAAGGCCAUAUUCUCAACCCCCUUUUCUCUUUUAUUUAGGUCAGAUUCCUAUCAGUGUGGCUUAUGUAAUAAAAUCUGUUGUUGCCACAGUCCUAUGUCACUCUUUCCAAUAACCUACAGCCCAUCAGUCUCUCUGAGAAGGCUGCCCUGUAGCAAAUCAUUAAAUCCUUUCAAGAACCAAGAAAACAUGGAAAAUAAAUGCAAAAGGAGAAGAUAGCUUAACUCAGGCUGGUGUUUGCAUGAUCAUGGAAACUCAUGUUAUGUUGUUUGGAAUUUUGAACAGGGAAGUUGGAGGAUGGAAACGUGCAAUCCUCUUAGAUGGUGAAACUAACUUGUAUCAGGAAUUUAUACCAGGUGCGGCAUUGAACUGAGCUGGAUUUCCAUACAACAACCUGGGAAGUGAGCCUGCCAAGAGGAUGAACACCUAGAUAAUGGACCUACAGUUCACUCAGACUCAAAAUAAGGAUUUAGGCGAGUGUUGUGUUGCUACUAUUUGUUUUCAGUUACUCCCACAAAUGGACAGGUAACCACUCAGCUAGAGAUCCUAGGGUGGCUGAGAAGGACGAGGAAGGCACAAAAAUCCCUGUGGGGAUGGCCAAAAGAGUUUUCCCAUGGGCUCUUACACUGAGAACUUUACUCCUUUAUAGUCUGAACAGCAGACAGCUCAGAGGUCAAAGGAAACUGCCCCUUCUGUGGAAAGGACUCCAUGCAUGUGUCUUUGUGCCUCUUCCUGGUCCUUCAUCUCUGUCUGUGGGUACCUUUCUUUCCAUCACAAUCAUCCUCUGGAUCACAUACUACACAGGACUCAUAAGGGUGCAGAGGGUCAGGGAUGCUGGAAAUGUCACCCAACAGCAAGGUGAUAGAGUUCCGGACAGAAUUUGAAUGGUACUUUCUAUGGCUCAUGUCUCUCGGUUUUCUGCAGUCCUUGCUGAGUUUCUUAAUCCAGUGUCUGGAGACCUCCAAGGUCAAAUGCAUGCACAUUUAAAUUUAAAUUCUAGGUGUAAAUAAAGGUAAUUUCUAGAUUUGCUUCCAUCUUGAUUUUCCAUGUCAUAGUUCUAUUCAAUUAGCAUAAGUAACUCAGAGGUGACAGUCAUGUAGAGAAUGUACUGAUGGGUGAUUUUGAUUUUUGUUAUUUUCCUACAGUGUUAAAGACCUGGAAGCUUUUUAAUAAUAGUAAAAAGUGCGCAACCAAAAAUUAUUGUGUUUUUUUUUUUUGAGAAAUGAUGCCAUUAUUUCACAUGAAUGCUCUACUUAAAAAUAGAGGUAGAGAAUCCAGGGAAAAAAAGACCCAGGAAGGUAACCUUUAAUUUGAAAUUGGAUGCAUUGUGAUACUUGUG